GACGAACCGGACAAACGUUAUUCGGAAUUACUGGGCUUAAAGGGUUUGUAGGCGGCCUUGUAAGUCAGGUGUGAAAUCCCUCGGCUCAACCGAGGAAUAGCGCUUGAUACUGCAAGGCUUGAGGGAGACAGGGGUAAGCGGAACUGAUGGUGGAGCGGUGAAAUGCGUUGAUAUCAUCAGGAACACCGGUGGCGAAGGCGGUUACCUGGACAGUUACUGACGCUCAGGCACGAAAGCAUGGGGAGCAAAAGGG
rnacentral:rRNA from 1 species